CUGAGGGCCGAGCGCUGCGCCGGGCCCCGAGCUGAGGGCUGUGGAGAGGAUCCCGCCCGCCUGGCUGGUAGCGGGCUCCCAGAGAGAGUGUCUGCCCUGCCGGCACAGCAGAUGCCUUGGGUGAUUCAGAAAUGAGCAGUGGGAGCGCUUGGUGAUUUUCACAGGAGGAAGACAGCAGCCAGCAAGGCCCCGGCUCCCUGCCAUCUUGAGCCCUUCCUGGUGAUUUGCAGCAGCACAGAUAAGUACGGAGCACUGAGGACUGAAGUCAGCAUUUGGACCUGACUUUAUUUUAGUAUAAAUGACCACAUGAGAUUCAUACCAAUGAAGAUAUAGGAGUAAAAUUGCAGAAGUACAUAAAUGCCUCUUCUAAAAGUGCAGUUUCGAGUAUUUAAGGUUAAUGAGAUAGAUAGAAAAGAGUCCUCUUCACGUGUGUUUACAUGUCCUAACAGAAAGUGACGCAUUAUCUUACAUACCAAGUGUGUUUUGGAUGAAUCUCUAUCACCCUAUUGAUAUCAGGGGAACUGAAUUGAUUUAAAUUAGUGAAGGAACUAACCCAGCUAAGUUUUAAAUAAUUGCAAUAAUAUUCUCUGUCUCUUUCAGUCAGAUUUGCCCUUCGUGUUUAGUUGUUUCAUAAUCCUGCAGCUCUCCAUUUCAUCUUUACAAGACCAGAAUCUCUAUUUUCCUGUGAACAGGGAAAAAAAACCCACCACCAUAAAAGGCAGUCCUUUUAUAUUCCAAUCUUUAUUUCCUUGUUUAAAUAAACUUAGGGCACAAAAGCUCA